rnacentral:rRNA from 1 species
GAUGAACGCUAGCUACAGGCUUAACACAUGCAAGUCGCGGGGCAGCAUGGGGGUUGCUUGCAAUCCCCGAUGGCGACCGGCGCACGGGUGAGUAACGCGUAUCCAACCUGCCCUUCACCACGGGAUAACCCGGCGAAAGUCGGACUAAUACCGUAUGUUGUCCAUUGACGGCAUCCGAUUUGGACGAAAGGUUUGGCGGUGAAGGAUGGGGAUGCGUCCGAUUAGCUGGACGGCGGGGUGACGGCCCACCGUGGCGACGAUCGGUAGGGGUUCUGAGAGGAAGGUCCCCCACACUGGAACUGAGACACGGUCCAGACUCCUACGGGAGGCAGCAGUGAGGAAUAUUGGUCAAUGGGCGUAAGCCUGAACCGGCCAAGUAGCGUGCAGGAUGACGGCCCUAUGGGUUGUAAACUGCUUUUAUGCGGGGAUAAAGUGGCCCACGUGUGGGCUUUUGCAGGUACCGCAUGAAUAAGGACCGGCUAAUUCCGUG